rnacentral:rRNA from 1 species
UACGUAGGGUGCAAGCGUUGUCCGGAAUUAUUGGGCGUAAAGAGCUUGUAGGCGGUUUGUCGCGUCUGCUGUGAAAUUUCGGGGCUCAACCCCGAACUUGCAGUGGGUACGGGCAGACUAGAGUGUGGUAGGGGAGACUGGAAUUCCUGGUGUAGCGGUGAAAUGCGCAGAUAUCAGGAGGAACACCGAUGGCGAAGGCAGGUCUCUGGGCCAUAACUGACACUGAAAAGCGAAAGCCAGGGGAGCAAACGGG